rnacentral:tRNA from 1 species
CGCGGGGUGGAGCAGUGGUAGCUUGUCGGGCUCAUAACCCGAAGGUCAGAGGUUCGAAUCCUCUCCCCGCUACCA